GCAAAUUUUAUUUGAGCUCCCCACAUUUCAUGCACAGAAUGGGGAAGAAGAAGAGAUUCUGUAGUGGUGUGCAGAGUCCUGAGCUUCUCCUUGGAUUCUCCCUCACAUUGCUGCCCUGUCCCAUCAGUUGGUAUUCCAAACAGGCCUUGGAUGGGAGGAUUACAUCACAGACCUGGUGAGAUAUUCCUGUCAGUAUUUCCUAAUGCAGCAUUUACUUUUUAUUGAAGUAGAGGGACUUUGUUGACUAGUGUUCAGAUGUUGGCCCACAACAUCCUUGUGAUACUUUUUUCCAGAAUUCCUUCACAAUGAAUUGUUUCCUGAACUUCUUUUGUGCUGUUGACUAUUCUUGCCUAACUGUCUCUCACACCAAUAAAAUGAUCCACUCUGCUUAAGAUUACCAUGGACUUCACAGUUUGUAACAGUACGUCAGAUGAGCAUUUCUCCCUGGUUCUGGACUCCAGUCCUUGGCUUUGCAUUCACUGCCUGGGCAGGCAAUGUCUAUACCCUCAAAGGCAGAUCAUUGGAAAAGUGCAAUGUGUUUUGCCAUGUAUUGAAGACAAAUUGCAAACAGCAGAUCAAGUCAGUUGUAUCCAUGGAAACGUCACUAUGCAGUUCCUUCGCUACCCUUCUGAUUAGGAUCUGGCUGUUCUGUAGUCCAGAUCUCCC
ensembl:lncRNA